rnacentral:rRNA from 1 species
UACAGAGGUCUCAAGCGUUUGUUCGGAUUCAUUGGGCGUAAAGGGUGCGUAGGCGGCGCGGUAAGUCGGGUGUGAAAUCUUGGAGCUUAACUCCGAAACUGCAUUCGAUACUGGCGUGCUUGAGGACUGGAGAGGAGACUGGAAUUCAUGGUGUAGCAGUGAAAUGCGUAGAGAUCAUGAGGAAGACCAGUGGCGAAGGCGGUCUGCUGGGCCGUUGCUGACGCUGAGGCGCGACAGCGUGGGGAGCAAACAGG